UCCAAGUCGCAGCCCCUUGCUUCCUCCCUCCAUUCCUCCUCUUUCUCUCUCUCUCUUUCUCUCUCUCUGAACCCAGUGUUGCGGUCCAGUCGCCAACCUCCUCCUUUCCACCUCUUCUCUCCACAUCCCCUGUUUUCCUUCCCGUUCCGAGGCAUUACUGAUCGCCUUCCAAGUUCAAAUUUUGAGCUCCUUACUUUUGUUAUUGGUCCUUCGGAGAUGAGGCUAGACCGAUCUUUGCUGGCUUUUCUUUGGCUAAAAAUUUGCUGCGUAAUGGAGAAGGCGUUCUAUCACAAAACAGACUUAUCCAAUUUCAUUCCUGUGCUUUGGACUGAGAGGCUUUGCAGAAACGGUGCCUGCCAACCGGAACAGAUCCCAGACUUGGUUGGGUAGAUCUUGGAUAAUCUUUCUAGGGGAAAUACUGGGGCCAUUAAAGUUCUCCAGGAUGAAUUCCCAGAGCCUGGAAAACUUCAAUUUAUAUAUGCUGAUUUAGGAGAUGCAAAAGGUGUAAACUAUACAUGCCUUCUAAUUAUCCAUUUUUCUUAUAAAAACUAACUGCGUAUGAAAAUGGACUAGAGUUUGAUUCUUUAAUCAUUGUUCAGGUUAAUCGAAUAUUUGCAUGCAUUUGAUGCUGUUAUGCACUUCGCAGCUGUUGCUUAUGUGGGUGAAAGCACACUAGAACCUCUUAGGUACGUGCUAUUUUAUGUGGGUGAAAUUUCUAUGACGCAGACCAUGUGUAGAAAGAUCGAGCUGUAAAAUACGGGAAGGCUAAGAAAAUGGCGGAGGAUAUCAUUUGGAUUUCUCAACAGCUAGACCUCAGCAGGUCAUUUAUUAUGAUAUUUGGGCUGGCCUACUCUAGAGAUGCUUUAGAUAAUUGUAAAUAUAGGCCUAGUUUUGAUGAUUGUGUUGGUCAGACCAUCCAAACAGGCCUUUAGAAAGAUUUUCAUGAGUGGAAGAGGGUUUUACACCUGAGUUGGUUGCAGGAGCAGUUCAUUUCUUAUCUUUCACAUGAUUUUCUGUAUAACAUGGUGAUAUGAGCUGUUCAUUUCAUAUUUUGUUAUGGAUAAUAAAUCUAAUAUGUUGCAUACAGUUGAGAGAGAAGAUCUGAAAAACUCUUCUCCCCAUCCCACUUCCUUCUCUCCUCUCGUCUCUAUUCUUUUGUAGGCAGUGAGGUGUUUGGGUUGAAGGGAGAAGGUUGUGUCAUAAUGGUUAAGUGAAGGUGGCUUCAACAAGGUCGAUAGGUCCCCGGUGAUUGAAGUGGCUGGCCAUGGGGCCGGCAGUGAAGAUGCUAGAGGGCACUAUGGAGGUGGACAUGUUGAUGCUGCCAUAUAUAUAGCUAGGCGCUCGUCUUGUCGAUGGGAGUGGUGCUCGAGGUGGAUGGCUCAUUUCUUUUCUUUUUCAUUUUUCUUGUAUUUUUUUUUCUUUUUAUUCCUGUAUUUUUUUUUUUUAAACUUAUCUUAUUUCUAAUUAAAUAUGUGGUGGCUCGUCCCACCGUUUUACUUUUCUUCUCCUUCCUUCUUUUAAAGAUUGUAGUUGGUGACCAGGCCCUCUUAAUUGUUGCUAAAAACUACGCCCUCUUGUAUUUUUUUCUUACAGACUAAUGGCAAAUUGAAGACCUUUC